ACUGGGUAUUGUGGCCUAUGCCUGUUGUACCUACUACCACUCUGGUUGAGGCUGGUGGCAUUCUUGAUCUGGGGAGUUCUGAGCUACAGUGGGCUAAGCCAGUUGGGUGUCUGUACCAAGUUGGGCACCAAAAUUAUAAGCCCCUGGGAACAGGGUGCGGUGAGACCAAAAGCCUGACUAAGGAGGAGCAAACUGGCUCAGAUUGGAAACAGAGCCUAUGAAAACUCCCGUGCCAGUCAGUAGUGGAGUUGGGCCUGUGUGUGGCCUCUGUAUUUUCAGCUUGGUGAUAUAGGGAGAGCCAGCCUUAA
rnacentral:SRP_RNA from 1 species